AGUCUGUUUCUUCUAUCCUUCCCUCCGGGCAAGGUCGAGAGAGUCUGUGAAGCGGUACAAAAAUCUUCUCGCUGAUAUCUUCCCUCAGUCUCAGAGGUCAGUUGGCGUGACUUUUUGCAAUUCUUGUGCUUCUGUAUGUUGAGGAUGACUACUUCAAAGUAUUUUAUCAAGUACAUUGUUAUUGAGUACUCAACAAAAAGAGAAAAAAAGGGAAAAAGUACUUAGUGUUUGACAUUGAUCUGGUUGAUUUAUAUGCUCUGGGGAUUCAAAUGUGUUCUGAAAAUGGUGGGAAAAUUUAGAGAGAUGUUGAUUGGGAUAAUCUGCUUUUGAGGGUAAAAAAUGAAAAGGGCAACAUAUCAUUACACGAGGCCUUGAUGAACGGUCACCAAGUUGUAGCUUAUUAUUUGAUCACGGUAGAUCCAGAAGUGUUAUAUUAUCUGAACAAUGAAGUGAAAUCAGCUCUGUUUCUAGCUGCUGAAGUAGGGUUUUAGGAACUUGUCACGCAUAUUCUAUGUGAUACAGUUGGGAUUGAAAAUACAAAUGAAAGACUUAAAGGGUAAUCACCUAUUCAUGCUGCCAUUUUAAAAAGAAACCGAGGUGUUUUUGAUGCCUUAUUGAAAUCAGAACCAAGGCUCAUUCGAUUAAGAGAUGAAGAAGGAAGGACUCCACUUCACUUGAUUGCAUGAUUGGGCUAUCUUGAAGAGGUUCAAUACUUGUUAGGAAGGCAGAGUUCAGGUGCUAUUGCCAGGGACAACAAUGGCUUACUUCCUAUUCAUUUAGCAUCAAUUAAAGGCCAUGUUGAUGUUGUCCGGGCGUUGCUUCAGUAUUGGCCUGAUUCGAGGGAACUGCUCAACUGUCAUGGUCAAAAUAUUCUUCAUGUUGCAGCCAAGAGCAGAGGACAUAAAAUGGUUAGUUACAUUCUCCAAACUCCUGAGGUCGAGAAGUUUUAUAAACAUGAGGGAUAAGCAUGGAAACACAACCUUGCAUUUGGCCACCUUGGAUUGGCAUCCAAAGAUUGUUAGUACCCUAACAUGGGAUGAAAGAGUGGACUUAUAGUGAAUAAU